UUCAAGGCUACUGAGUUUCUCAAAUUAAUAAAGUUUAAUUAUUUAUAUACAAAUAAUUAUCAUUGGUUCACUAAACUCAGCCCGCUCCUCUCCAUUUUGUGAGUUCGCCUGCUACUGUGUUAUUUUGGUCAGACACCGAAAGGGUGCGAAGCGGAGAAAUCAAAUUCACUAAAUUGUCAGAACUGACAUUACCUUUCAUAACGUUCGGCUUUGGAAAAGUGUAUGACUGCAUGUUGGAACUCCUCAAUCAGCUGGGUCAAUUUGCAAUAGAUGUAUACAAUAUGGAUUGGUCUCUAUUUUUGACCAAUCCAUAUGUGACUGGUGUUACACUGGGUGUUAUUAUUUUCAUCCCAUUUGGCGAAGGACCACAGGUACCGAUUAAAUCAACCUCUGCGAAGAAGGAAGAGGACUAGUGAUUCAUGUAUUCUUAGAUACCUAGUAGAGCAUUUCUUUUCGGUUUGGUUGAUCAUUUCGUGCCGGUAAAUUUAGGGCGGGAAACAUUUUUUGGUCUGGUGUUGGACAGAAAGUUUCAACAAAG